rnacentral:rRNA from 1 species
AGAGUGAACGCUGGCGGUAGGCCUAACACAUGCAAGUCGAACGGCAGCACAGUAGGAGCUUGCUCUUACGGGUGGCGAGUGGCGGACGGGUGAGGAAUACAUCGGAAUCUACCUUUUGGUGGGGGAUAACGUAGGGAAACUUACGCUAAUACCGCAUACGCCCUUCGGGGGAAAGCCGGGGACCAGCAAUGGCCUGGUGCUGAUAGAUGAGCCGAUGUCGGAUUAGCUAGUUGGUGAGGUAAUGGCUCACCAAGGCGACGAUCCGUAGCUGGUCUGAGAGGAUGAUCAGCCACACUGGAACUGAGACACGGUCCAGACUCCGUAGGGAGGCAGCAGGUGGGAAUAGUGGAACAAGUGGGCG